rnacentral:rRNA from 1 species
AUUGAACGCUGGCGGCAGGCUUAACACAUGCAAGUCGAACGAGUGGCGGACGGGUGAGUAAUGCUUGGGAAUCUAGCUUAUGGAGGGGGAUAACUACGGGAAACUGUAGCUAAUACCGCGUACCCUAGGAUGAGCCCAAGGGGGAUUAGGUAGUUGGUGAGGGAAAGGAUCACCAAGACGACGGUCUGUAGCUGGUCUGCAAGGAUGACCAGCCACACUGGGACUGAGACACGGCCCAGACUCCUACGGGAGGCAGCAGUGGGGAAUAUUGCGCAAUGGGGGCAACCUGACGAAGCCAUGCCGCGUGAAUGAAGAAGGCCUUCGGGUUGUAAAGUUCUUUCGGUAGCGAGGCGUUAACUACAGAAGAAGCACCGGCUAACUCCGUGCCAGCAGCCGCGGUAAUUC